GAUCAAAUCAGGAAUCAAUCUUCCUUAGUGAUUAGGUCAUCUAAUAACCUAAUUGGCUCAAAUCUAAUCGAAUCCAAUUCAAUUAGUCUUGACCGAGUCCUUAAUACUCAAACAAAUUAAGUAAAUUAACAAUCUAAUUAUUAAUUAAUCUUCUUAUAAUUCACUAACCCUUGGUAAAUUAUUUAUCACAAUCUUUGCAUAAGGUUAAUCAUCAAUCAUAUUGACGGUUAUAUCUUUUAACAAUUCAUAAUCAUUGAUUAGCCAUUAGAUCAGAUCGAAACUUCUAAUAUGUGUAAUCCCAUAGGUUUGAACCUAAGUCAAUAGUAUAGGAAUAAAUUUUUAUACUGAUCGAAGUGACCAUCUAGUAAUGAUACCCGACAUCCGGA
rnacentral:lncRNA from 1 species